CUAUGCUUGAAACACCGAAAAAUAGUGGAUUUUUAAAGAAUUUUGGUCGGCAAAGUCAAAUAAAUGGCCCAAGUUUAUGUAAAAGAUGUGGUGUUCACUACUGCUUACAGAAUGAUCGAACUUUUAAGAAAGAAUUUUCAGUGAAUAUAUUUCAUGUAUUUAAUGAAAAUCUGUUAUGGUUUAGUUCCCAGGCUAAAAAUGUAACAAAAGCAGAGAGAGAGAAGAAAGGGGACAAAAGGGGGGGGGAAGGGAAUUGAUUUUCUUAUAAGCUCAAUAAUGCAUUUCAGUUGUCGUAACUCUAAAUGAAAAACAGCCU
rnacentral:lncRNA from 1 species